rnacentral:lncRNA from 1 species
GUAGACAUAGGGAUCAUCCGGGUUUAGAUGAUUAGGAGUAAGCAUUUGGGAACCAUUGGGUAGUCAAGGUUUUAUUCCUGUAUGCAUUGGUUGGUCCUUACCUUCAGCAUUCUCCCUAAAGCUCAAUCCAUUCAUUGAGAGAUCCUUGCCCUGAAAUUGUUUAAACCCUCAUGAUUCUCAAAACCUUUUUCUGUCUAGCCAAGUGAGUUUGUUAAGCCUUGCACAACCAGAUUCAUAUACUUGAGUAAUGAAUGUUAAAAGGAAUGAAUGAUUUGAAUGCAUGUGUAGAUCAAGGGAUAGAAUCAGUUUCGGAUUUGAUGAGUUUGUCUAAAGUCGUUAAGUAAAGUUCUCUCAGCAUGCAUCAAAGACUUAGCAACCAGGACAUUGAUUUUAACUGCUCUAUCUUGCAAGUUAUAGGUUCUGAGACCCCGUUUUCAAACCUCUCUUCCAC